AACGUAGGACACAAGCGUUAUCCGGAGUUACUGGGCGUAAAGGGCGUGCAGGCGGUUGCGUAAGUUAGGCGUGAAAGACUUCGGCUAAACCGGGGGAGGUCGUCUGAUACUGCGUAACUAGAGUGUGGUAGAGGCGUGUAGAAUUCCGGGUGUAGUGGUGAAAUGCGUAGAGAUCCGGAGGAAUACCAGUGGCGAAGGCGGCACGCUGGGCCAUAACUGACGCUGAGGCGCGACAGCGUGGGGAGCAAACAGG
rnacentral:rRNA from 1 species